AAAAAAGAGAAUAGCUAAACGUGAAUAAGGUCUUUUUCAAUUUUUAGCACAAACAAAUCGCAUCCUUAAUAAAUGCGAAAGCUUUUGAGUCUUAAUUGUGAUGAUCACCUUGUAUUGAUCAUUCUCAUAUUUCAGUCGAGAAUAUGGCGGCUGUUUAAGGCAUCUUCAAACCGGCUGCAUGAACCCACUCUCAUUUCUGUGCUCAUAUCGUUCUCUGGUGCCGGAUAGUAGUCUUCCCUAAGUUGGACAUCCCGUAGGUUUGGGAUUCGGAGAAGGAACAUCAUGAAAUGCUCAUGAGCUGUUCCAUGGAUAAAUAGCUUCCUCAAUGUGAGACAUUCUGCAAGCAACCCAGCUCCUGGAAGGGACAGACUCCUUUGGUUUACAUCUUUGUCUUGUGGUGGCCAAUAAUCAAGCUCAUUGAGACUCAAAUUCCCUAUCCCAUUCAAGAAAAAUCUCUCCCACAAGCUCAGAUCCAUUUGUCCGGACGGGGCAGUUAAUGCGAAACCUGUUGUGUCGCUGCAAUCCAACUGCAUCUUUGACAGACGGGGAUAUUGGGCAAGGCAGCACAAUCCAAAUGCUCUCUGUAAUGGUUUGUGCCGGCCUCUGCAAUCCCCUUCAACCCGGAUACGAAUCUCCUCCAAAUUAGGACAAUCCUCAAGACCAGCCAUUGGCAAAGGAGUUAGAAGCUCGCCAACACCAAUCCAGAGAGAGAGAUAUACGAGUUUAUCCCAGGACUUGCUCCAAAAUCCAUCUCUAUUGCUUUGCAAAUACAAAGCAUCGGCAGAAUACUUGAUUCUUUUAUUGCUCUUGGAAUAAUCAUGUUCAGCAUUUCCAAAGAGGGCUUCAUUGAGGUUGAAACCACAAGUAGCAGCAUAAUUGUCCUCUUCUUGCAGAGCAUCCCACAUACAAUCAAUAUGAAGUCUCUCAAUUCGAUGGCGAAUAGGCUCCAAUGCUCGCAAAGAUGCAACAGCAUUGAGAUUCUUACAAGCAGAGAUCUUGACCUCAACAAGAGUCUUGUGAAGCAAACAAGCCAUUGUCCUGAUGCCCCUCAUAGUAAUCUUCUUGCAUCCCUCAACUUCAAACUUUGCCAAUCUACAACAUCCUCUCGCAAUCUCUAUCAAGCCCAUGUCUGUCAAAUCUGCAGACUUGUUGAUGGACAAUGACUCCAGCCUCGAACACAGUGCAACCCCAUCAAGCUGCGACUCCACUGCCAUGCAAAUACCAUGAAAUUGUUGUAAUUUUAGCAAUUUCAACUUUGGACACCGAGAAUUAAGAGCUUCCAAAGCCACAGCAGUAUCUCUAACAUUCUUGCAAACACAAAGACCUAGCUCUUCAAGCAAUGGAAGCCCUGAGAAAAAAUCCCCACCAACCCUGCAACAUUAACCCUCGCAUCCUCCCCAGUAUACCCGUCAUCGUCAGGAUCACUCCUGGUGUUCCCCAACGACGACGUAUCAACCAGAUGAAGAACCGAUAACNNNNNNGCUGCAAUCGCGAGCAACGUCUCAUCUCCAAUGAAUCCAAUAUAACUCGGAUCAAACAUGCAAGCAACCAGAAACUUGGUGAGAUUUGAACAAGCAGCAG
rnacentral:misc_RNA from 1 species